UACGGGGGGAGCAAGCGUUGUUCGGAUUUACUGGGCGUAAAGGGCGCGUAGGCGGUCAGCACAAGUCAGUUGUGAAAUCUCCGAGCUUAACUCGGAAAGGUCAACUGAUACUGUGCGACUAGAGUGCGGAAGGGGCAACUGGAGUUCUUGGUGUAGCGGUGAAAUGCGUAGAUAUCAAGAGGAACACCUGCGGCGAAGGCGGGUUGCUGGGCCGACACUGACGCUGAUGCGCGAAAGCCAGGGGAGCGAACGGG
rnacentral:rRNA from 1 species